ACUGAACGCUGGCGGCAUGCUUUACACAUGCAAGUCGAGCGGGGUGGGGGGCAACCCUCAUUCAGUGGCGAACGGGUGAGUAAUGCAUCGGAACGUAUCCCGUAGUGGGGGACAACGCCGCGAAAGCGGCGCUAAUACCGCAUAUGCUCUACGGAGGAAAGUGGGGGACCGCAAGGUCUCACGCUAUGGGAGCGGCCGACGUCCGAUUAGCUAGUUGGUGGGGUAAUGGCCCACCAAGGCGACGAUCGGUAGCUGGUCUGAGAGGAUGAUCAGCCACACUGGGACUGAGACACGGCCCAGACUCCUACGGGAGGCAGCAGUGGGGGAUUUUGGACAAUGGGGGCAACCCUGAUCCAGCCAUGCCGCGUGCGGGAAGAAGGCCUUCGGGUUGUAAACCGCUUUUAGCCGGGAAGAAAAGGCACGUCUUAAUACGGCGUGUUCUUGACGGUACCGGCGGAAUAAGCACCGGCUAACUACGUGCCAGCAGCCGCAGUAAAAC
rnacentral:rRNA from 1 species